ACCUGCGGGCUAGGUGGGAGGCUCACCCUCUGAGAGGAAAGGAAGCGAGGAUCGCGCGGCCGGAGAGCGAGGAGACGCUUGGAGUCCAGGGCUCGGGCCGCCCACACCUCCUCCUGCGGCGGACACGGCACAGCGGGCGGCGCACCGGCCGCAUCCGCGACCCUGCGCGCAGGGAGCAGGAGGAGAGUGGCUCAAGGAGACUUGAUUUUCUUGGAUUUGCUGCAAUUCCUUAAACCGAACCAGGCUUUCGGGGCGUUAAAGGAAAUUACCGUCUACAGGUGGCAGUGUGGAAGCCAAAACGGGAGCUUCCAGAAGUGGUUUCUGAAAAAUAAGAGUGAAUAUGCACGAGGGAGCUCGGACAGGAAUCACAAAAACCGCAGGGUCUUCCUCUGAGCCAACGGAGGAGGCAGAUUGGGGAGGCCUGAUGUGGACGGUGGCGGGCCUCCUUGUUCUUCCAGAAGCCGUAGUGGCAGCCGUGUCCUGUCUUUCAGAGGAGGCAGAUGAGAAGGGAGGCAAGGACUUUCUGCCUCGCGGAUGACCGUUCGGAGACCCAAAGAAAAACUUUUCAAAGAUUUUUGGCAAGUGGCUUCUAAAGAUAAGUUUACAGUGUGGGUUUCGUCUCCAAACAUUUUUUUUUUUAAUUUUUUAAAAUGUUUACUUAUUUUUGGUAAAGAGAGAGACAGAGCAUGAGCAGAGGAGGGUAGGGAGAG